GGUGUUAAUCAUAGGGAUCGAUUUGAGUAACAAAUGCCAACCUUAAGAAUCAAUGUGAUAUAAAAAUUUUAGGUGCCAAUUUGAGAAAAGUGCAAAGUUUAGGGGUCAAUCUAUAUAUUAAGCCUUGAACAAAUCGCUUGUGUUUUUUUUUUUUCUCUUUUAAGAAUUUAAUUGAAGUCGCCGGAAAAUCUCAGGCUUUAUCACCGGAACACAUUUCAUCUUCUUUUCUCUCUUCUCAGACCAACUUUGACUUCAAUCAAAUUUCAAUCAACAAGAAUUUGCUUUGAAAACAUAAAGAAAAUUCCUUUUUUGGGUUUCGAAAAUUGUGAGAUUUUGGGCUUUUAGAAGAAAAGUGGAAUGGGCUGUGCUGGAUCGACGCCGGCCAAAGGAGACGGGAAUGUGAAAAAGAUCCGGAAGCCCAAGCCCUGGAAACAUCCUCAGCCGAUAACGAAGUCUCAACUUGAGCAGAUGCGUGAAGAGUUUUGGGACACUGCACCUCAUUAUGGUGGCAGUAAAGAGAUCUGGGAUGCACUUAAAGCUGCUACUAAACAGGAUUUAACAUUUGCUCAAGCUAUUGUGGACAGUGCAGGGGUCAUAGUGCAAUCUGCCGAUUUAACUAUCUGCUACGAUGAAAGAGGUGCCAAGUAUGAACUACCAAAGUAUGUUUUGAGUGAGCCAACCAAUUUGAUCCAAGAGAGUUGAAAAUAGAGAGAAUAAAGAGUGCAAUGCACGCUAAGGUUUAAUGUAAAUCAUGUUGCUGUAAGUUUCUCUGAUGAAAUGAUCAAAAGGCAUAAACAUUGGUUUCAAUCAAGAUGUCACAGUUCUUCUCUGAGCUUUUGUGUAGAGAUAGUUUUUGUUUGGCCCUUGUUUGAACUUGAAGACUAUGUAUAAGAUUUUACCAAAACGAAUUAAAUAACUGAGUUGAGUCAAUGCAAUGACAUAAUAUCUUGUAUGUAAGUUAAAUUUUUUGUUCAAUGAAAAAUAAAGUGUCGAAUCAUAAAA